rfam:Triticum aestivum genome assembly, contig: Triticum_aestivum_CS42_TGACv1_scaffold_146238_2BS
AAGAUACUCCCUCCGUCCCAAAAUUCUUGUUUUAGAUUUAUCUAGAUACGGAUGUAUCUAACACUAAAAUAUGAAUAGAUACGUCCGUAUAUAGAUAGUGUUAGAUACAUCCGUAUUUAGAUAAAUCUAAGACGAGAAUUUUGGAACGAAAAAAGUACUAU